rnacentral:tRNA from 1 species
GGUGGGAUGGCUGAGCGGUUUAAAGCGGUCGUCCCGAAAACGACUGGGGCGAAAGCCCUCGGAGGUUCGAAUCCUCCUCCCACCG